CAGCGAUUGCGUGGUGAAGAUGAGGGGCUUCAUUUUGGUCCGAAGGGCCAGGUUUUCAUUCUCCAGUUCUGUCACCUUUUUCUGGUUCUGCAUGGAUUCUUUUAGAGUAAUUCAGGAUCUUGGAUGCUGACAGGAGAACGGAGUCAACUUCAUCCUCUUCCUCAAGAUGCUUUUCUGGAACAGAACCGAGCACAGCUUUUGGCGAGGAGCUGGAAGAAAAGUCUGCUUUUCCCUGCAGAUCAACAGCUGUCAUUUCAAGCAUUUGGAAUGAACUUAGGAGCACGGCACAAAAACAAGCUCCUCGGAUCUAUUCUUAGCCACUUCUGACCAAACUGCAAGACGUCUGGGGUUUUCAGCUUUACAAGAUCUUUUUUUAAACCUGGGAUUACGGGGCUAUCACUAUGCGUCGAUGGAAUCUUCUACAGAGCGCGAUACUUGCCAUCUCGCCCCGAGGAUGUACCAAUAUGAGGGCUGUUCCUCAGGCUUGCGUUUAGAUGGAGAAGGGAACCUCAUGACGUCAACUUAAGAAGUCUUCAGUGGAUCACAGAAAUAGUGUCUACAGCUCAAAGCUUGAUCCAGGUCAAAACAUCUCUACACCCAGUCUACGUUAAGGUGCUGGCAGCGUUAAUUUCAACCUGACUCUGUCUAUUGAGAGAUGGAAUGCCAUGUUUCACAAAGGAUGGGAACAAGCGCUGGCUUUUAGGCAGGUAACUGCUGCUUUGAAGAGGCCUUGUUUAGAGGAAAGUAAGCAGGACUGGGUGCAUUGAGUCAGGUUAACUACAGAAAGUUUGGUAUGCUAAGGGGACCGUUGGAGAGACACCAAGAUCUUGGAGAUGCACAGGUGUUAGGGAAGCAGAGAUGCUUUUGAUGAGUGAAGGGUGUGAACAUGUCCAUAUGGUAAGAAGAAGAACCACAGACAAGAGACUGAGUCGGUACACUGAGCUGGAAAGAGACACAAGUAACAGAAUCACAGGUAUGAUUUGUGUUGGGAACUGGGUUGAACAGGUGGUGCUUUGUCCAUUUGGUAAAGAUGAUGGAGGCACAUGCAAUAGUGAAGACACUUUCUCUGUAAGGAGGUACUCGGAUCAGGCAGAUUGUUGACUGAGAUUUUCUGUCCUGCCCAGUUCCCACAGUUGUUAAGUCCCAAAGAAUCACACAGAGGUCUACAUUAAUUAUAUACUCAUUGGCCUAGUAGCUCA